rnacentral:sRNA from 1 species
AGCAGCCGCGGUAACUCCAGCUCCAAUAGCGUAUAUUAAAGUUGUUGCAGUUAAAAAGCUCGUAGUUGAAUUUCGGGGUUAGUAGAUCGGUCGUGCCACUGGUAUGUACUGGUCUCACUGAUUCCUCCUUCCUGAUGAACCGUAAUGCCAUUAAUUUGGUGUUGCGGGGAGACUGGACUGUUACUUUGAAAAAUUAGAGUGUUUAAAGCAGGCUAACGCUUGAAUACAUUAGCAUGGAAUAACGGAAUAGGACGUUCGAUCUUAUUUUGUUGGUUUCUAAGAUUGACGUAAUGAUUAAUAGGGAUAGUUGGGGGCAUUAGUAUUCAAUUGUCAGAGGUGAAAUUCUUGGAUUUAUUGAAGACUAACUACUGCGAAAGCAUUUGCCAAGGAUGUUUUCAUUAAUCAAGAACGAAAGUU